rnacentral:tRNA from 2 species
GCUCGGGUGCGCCAACUGGUAGAGCGGCCGUACUUAAAAUCCGGUGGCUGUGGGUUCGAGUCCCUCCCUGAGCACCU